CAUUACCGUCAUUACGAAAAUCGUCGGUUUCAGUUUAGAAUGACGGAUACGUUGUCAGAAAAAUAUUCAUCUUGGGCCAAAGCAGGUAACAAAACUGAAAGACGAGUCUGUGGAUCGUGACUAUCCAAAGUUUCCACACUAUGCCGAUAGGUGGCAGGGUUAUCGUGUCGCGCGAUCACGUGACUGACCGCCCCGGGGCAAUGCGGCUGGCCAUUCGGGUUGCGGCGCGGGUCAGGGGCGGACGUGGGGCUAUUGUUCCGUGGUGUGGGAAUGCUAGCUUUCAAUCAGUUUAAGCAGAUUGAAAGAGAAAAUGUUCUUGGUGAUCGUUAAGAGAUGGUCAGGACUCAGGACAGACCGUUGGUGGUUUUUGUCGCGGUCUGCUCCCCACAACUGUCGCUGAAAGGACUAACAAGUGUGAAACGAAACCGGUACGUUUCCGUCCGACCGACAGCGCCUCUGAUUGGUACGCACUACGCAAUCUUUAAAAUCUUACGCAUCUGAAGAGAAGGAAAUCCAGUAUACAGGUCCGGUCGUAUCAACCUCGUCCGCGGUCCGGCUGCCGGCUGGUUCUACGCUGUGGUUCCUCGAGGAAGACACCAACGCAAAACCGACAGUUUAUCCGGUGUUCCGCAGGCUUCUGCGUCAAACUGAGCUAGCAAGGCUGGCUACAUGGGCAGAGCGGCAGCUCACAGAGCAACCUACAGAACGAGGCGGAGCGCUCGCCGCUGCAGAUGGCGCCACCGGGGCUGGCGAGCGACCUCAAGCAGCUGGCGCCGCCCUCGGUGGAGCUCACCGCUGGCACAGAUGGCAGCACCGUCGACUGGUCACCGGCGUCGGUGUUUCUCGAGCCGCUGAACCGCCCGGCCUGCACUGUCUAUCACAUUCACGCCCAUCUAUCAUAAGUUAUUAGUGCCCUCGGCGGAGCCCACCGGUAACAUAGAUGGCAGCACCAUCGCUAGAAGACCUCGACGGGCGUGGCGGUCCUUGUGAAAUGUGAACUAUAUAAUAUAGUGUAGUGAGCAUCACGAGCGUGCUACUUACCAGCAUACUGCCCGACUCACUUCUCUACCAGCUCAGUACCCAGUACUACUGUCUGUCAGUUCCGAGGAUUAAUAAGAACUCGGAGCUUUGACGUGAUCGCCGUUUUUGUCACAAAUCUGAUGUCGUGAAGAUGAUUGGCGAUACUUGAUGAUGCUGUGCCGAUCUCAAGCGAUAUUGUAUUGUCGUUCACUAUUCCCUUUUAGCUCGAGGGAGAGGAUAUUGAGUUGAAAUGGUGGGUAUGACAUGAGGCAAGGGCCUCAUAUAUACUGUAAAGUGAAUUCAUAGGCAUCGAAGGAUGCGCAGCGCAGUUGUUCGCUUAUUUGAUCCCAGUUUGUGUCACUGGCAGUGCAUUUCGAGCAUAUGACGCGAUGCAUCAUGUGCUACGCGAUAAGGGCAUGUUCGAUAUUGCUAUCUGCCGAGUUUGUUAUCAGUCCGUACUCUAAGCGUGUUGUUAUGUUGGUUGUGUGAAUGUGGCAUGAAUAUGGUUUCGGGGCACGCGCUGAUAUGUCCAGUCAGUUCCCGAGAACAGAUUCAGUGAGCGCUGACCGCAACUAGAUACUCGUAGCGCAGGCAUCGAAGUCGUCUGUCUCAUCUCAUCACCUGUCGCUGUCAUAUAGAAACCGUCGUGCUCG
rnacentral:lncRNA from 1 species